AUUAUUCAACCUAGAAAUCGUAACAAAAGCAGCACAGUUACUAUCAUUGAUCCUAUGUGAUCAAUGGGGCCACUUUAAACAGAAAAAAAAUUACUUUCUUUAUGAACACUACAGUUAGUGUACUCACAUAAAUAUAUACAGUCAUUGCUUUUGGAAUCAAAUGAUUAUCGGCCUGAAAGAGGAAUACCAAAAAAAGUGAAGACAUGUCCUCCUACCUGAGCUCUUCAUACGUGAAAAAGUAUCGAAGCAGAUCUUUGACAGUAUUUGGAUGAAAGAAGAGACGGACAGAAGUCGUGGGAGAAUGAAAACUAAAGGUGUUGUGCUUUUUGCUUGUGUCAUCUUCAUGGUUUUCCUUAUAGUUGAAAUCGGGUGUGCUCCAAAGGGUAAAACCAUAGUGAGAAACUGGGGCCCACAAUCAAUUCUAUAUCUUAAAGGACGCUAUGGCAGGAGAUACACCUCUGAAAAGGAUGAACAGUAUUACAAGCUUAACCUGGAGGACUUCAGUGCAUUUUUUAAAAGUAAUUUCUGAAGAAAAGCAUGUAUAACUUGCAGGUGUAUUACCUAUAGCUAUGUCUCUGUUGAUUUCAAUCAUACCAAAAGCAAAACCCUUGAGGAGCCAGAUAUUUCUAACUCCAUGGAAUUUACAUUGCAGAGGUUCUGUUUCCUGGUUUGGUACACUGACUUAAAUUUAGGGAAAAGCAGAUGGAGGUCAGGAUUUUUCUAAGUGCUAAGAAUGAUUCUGUUCCUGCUGCCUUUUACAACUUGAGCUAAGCACACAGCACUUCCAUCUCUCCAAAACCACUGGUAUUCUAAGAAUUCAAAUACAAAAUUAAUUCAAAAACAAAACAAAAAGAAUACUGGUGGUCUUUCUGUAUAGAGUUGAGAAAAGGCCAGCAGCAUUUUAGUGCACCUUCACAGCCAAAAAGGAAAAAGACUACAGCAGGAAGACACCUGGGAAUAAGAAAAGAGAAAGAUGGAGAGUUUCACUCCAAGAUCUUCCUAGAAUGGUGAUUGUAAAAAUAAUAAUUACCAGAAAAUUAGUGGGAGAAACAAAGCUAUAGGAAGAAUGGGUUUUCCCGGCAACAGUUCAGCCAGCCAUAGAGAAUGAACACACCUUCAGUUUUAGUGAUUCAGAUCACAGUGAUACUGUUGGAAAGUUAAAGGAAAGUAGACAAGAAGUUAAAAAAAAAAAAAAAAAAAAAAGCAAUUUCAUGCAUAGUUCAUGCAUAGGUAACCCUUUUCUCACCCUUGGGUUGUUGUGGAGAAAAAUGCCACAGUUCAGUUGGGCCUAUGAAGAAAAUUCAAGGUUAAGCUUUCAACACACUAUUACAGGACUAGCUAAGUGCAUACUUUCUAUAUGAGCAAGAAAAAUACUCCAGGCUUUUAAGACUGACAGAUAUGCAUCUGCAGCUGCUGUAGUACAGGUACAGGACUCAAAUCCAAUAUCUGAGGAUGUCAGAGAAAAGAUCUCAUCUUCAGUGCAGCUAGAAUGGUUUAUGAAAUUGAAUCAUAGGUACCAAACUUUGCUUCCUACAGAAUGUCCAGCCAAUAUAUAUGACUUUGUGGUCUUUUUCUUUAGGCUGUGUUCAACACCACUGAACAUUCUGAAAAUCAGAAGAUUUAAAGCCCAAAACAUGGGCAUUAGAUGUUUGGAAUAAAACAAAGCUUUUCUUUACUUGCUACAAACAUCUCAUCCUGAGAAACAAUAAUAAAAAUUGUAACUGAAUGUUAAUACUGCAAAUGUCACAGUGUAAGUCUCUUUAAGGAUGUGCAUGUGUUAUAUCAGCUUGUUCCAAGAGAAAUCUUCAUUAUACUUACAUUUGAAAGUUAAUAAAACUAAAUGCUUAC
ensembl:lncRNA